UUAAGCAGAGAUUCCGAUGAGUCAUGAGAUCAGCAGUUACCUUUUUGUUCAUCAGAAUGCGGAAAGCGAAAGGAAGACACAUUCCCGUGCAGCUGCAGGUGUUGGCCUCGUCGCAAGCCCAUUACCAAGCUGCACACGGAAUAUUCCCAGCCCUGCAGCCCUGCUGCCUCUCUGCAAUACCACUGCCCAUCUGCAUCAGCUCUAUUAGAAGGCUCCCACCCAUCCGUUGCAACCAUCUCCUCAUCCUGGCCGAUGGCCUUGACAGGUGGAGAGAUGUCAGCGCUAAAGACGCCACUCACACAGAGUGGACAGCAAAGAUCCCACGCUCAGGCUGAAAGGGGACCAAGCCCACGAAGCGACUCGAGGCACCGGUGUGUGGACUUCCCACAAGUACACUCCCCUGCGUGGCCAGACGUGGCUGCUCGCAGCCCAGUGUGGCCAGGACCCUUUGCUCUGCUUGUUCUCGGGAGAGCUUUGAAGAGCUGUGUGUGUGUGUAUCUGUGUGUGUGUGCAUGUGUGUGUGUGUUCCUAGGGCCAGUGCCACGCAUCCUGUAUAGAAACAGGGUUGAUCUGUCUUUUGGUUGUUUGUUUCUUUCUUUCUUUCUUCCGAAGGAGAAGAGAACACGAUAUUUCCCUGGCAUGGGCAGUUUUCAGAGCAGGGUUAUCAAAUCAUUCUCAAGCCUCAGGCAGCAAAGAAGCGGCUUCUCUGCUCUCUGCACGCGCACUGUUCCUCUCCUCUCUCUCACUCUUUCCCCCCUCUGCUCCUAGAUUAAGUCCCUUUCUUGCCUUCCCUCCUUGUACCUUUUCUGGGUGUGCCUCCUGUUUGCUUCGGGCUCCAGGGUCCCCCAAAACUCGACGCCAUAUGCAAGUGCAGAAUUGAGGGCACAGUCCACAGCCACCCAAGAGGACGGAUGAUGGCUUGAUGGCUUUUUGAAUUAAUUUCCUUGAGGCACAGUUGAGAGGCAUCAUUGGCUACAGUCUCCAAACCGUCCCCUCGUUGUAUUUGUGAACAGUUCUGAAAGGCGAUUCUCGGUCCGCUGCAUUUAUCUCAAGGAUCCGACACUUCCUGGGCCUGUCAUGCAGGAGGCAAACGUCACCAUAGCCAGUUCACGGCUCUGAUUUCAAAGGUCAUAGACUGCUGGUUCUAUACCUUGAUUUGUUGUGGUGGGUUUUUCAUGAUAUACGAAACCAACAAUGUUGACUUAGGAACUCAUUUUUUUUAGUCUUUCUUCACACGUGGAUGGCAGGGAUCACACAACUUGAGCCAUCACCUGCUGCCUCCCAGGGUGCACAUUAGCAGGAGUCGGGAAUCCCUAGCAUUGCUGAGACUGAGCCCAGGUACCACAGUGUGACACGUGGGUGGCUCAAGCAGUGUCUCAAUGUCUGUGUCAAAGCUGCCCCAACACCCACCCCGUCAUCUGUUUUGUUUUUAAGAUUUAUUUACUUAUGUGAAAGUCAGAGAGAGAAAGAGAGGCAGAAAGAGAGAGGUCUUCCAUCCACUGGUUCACUCCCCAAUUGGCUGCAACGGCCAGAACUGUGCCGAUCCGAAGCCAGGAGCCAGGAGCUUUUUCUGGGUCUCCCAUGUGGGUGCAGGGGCCCAAGGACUUGGGCCAUCUUCUACUGCUUUCCUAGGCCAUAGCAGAGAGCUGUAUUGGAAGUGGAGCAGCCGGGACUCAAACCCGCACCUAUAUGGGAUGCCAGCACUGCAGGCGGCAGCUUCACCCGCUGUGCCGCAGCGCCAGCCCCUGUCAUCUGUUUUUGACCUGAGAACUACUUCACGGAGGAAACAUGCCAAGAGAUACGUGGCAAAGUGCUGAGGUGUCCAACCUCUAAAGCUGGUUUUCCAGUCAAGUCCAAUGGGAGAGGAGUGAGACUCCUGAAGUGCUGUGUGAACCCCACUCCCCCAGAUCUGGGGUUUCUGUUUCCAGGUAAAACCGCCAAGCUCUUAAUUCUUUCACCUGAACGUUUGGUACCCUUCAUUAAUGAUGUUUUCAUUCUUCCCUAGCAGCUCCACAUUUCUUUUUUUUCCCCCUGUCUGCCUCAACUUCUCAUUCUUCCUGGUAGAUCAAAGGCCAACUCCUAGCCUCAUGCUUGACUUCUAUAAAAUAUCCUUCAUAUUUUUCAUGUUCUUUGAUUUAGUAAUUCCACAUGGAGCAAUUUCUUUGUGUUUUCCUGGACAAAUAUUUAGGCAUAAAGGUGAGCACUGGAGCAUCAAAAAUUGGAAACAAGAUAUUUGAAUACAUUAUGAACAAUGAUGAAAUGGAAUAUUACGCAGUCAUUUCAAAUGUUAUAAAAGGUUAAAGAUAUGAAAAAAGUCUCCAAUGUAUUAUUUAGCAGAGGUAAAAUGACAGUUAUAAAUACUGAUUACUUGUCAUUUGAUUAAAAAUAUACACACAAAGUUUUGUUUUUUAAAAGAGGUACAUUAGUAUAUACAUCAAAGUGUAGACAUGAGGGGCUGGCACUCUGGUGAAGCAGGUUAAGCCUCUGCCUGAGACAACGACAUCCUAUAUGGGUUCUUGUUCAGGUCCUGGCUGUUCUACUUCUGAUCCAGUUCCCUGCUGAUGCCGUGGGAAAGCAACAAAAGAUGGCCCAAGUGCUUGGGCCCCCACAUCCACGUGGGAGAAGCUCCUGACUCCUGGCUUUGGCUGGGCCCAGAUGCAGCCGUUGCAGCCAUUUGGGGAGUGAACCAGCAGAUGGAAGAUCUCUCUCUUUCUCUCUCUCUCUCUCUCUCUCUCUCUCUCUCUCUUCCUCUUCUCCUCUCUAACUCUGACUUUCAAAUACAUAAAAAAUAAAUUUUUUAAAAAAAGCUUUAACUUCAUUUUUUUAAAAAUGUAAACAUAGUUGUCUGUAACUAAUUGGAUUAGAGGCAAGUUUGCCCCCUUAAUUUUUAAAAUCUAUUUUACUCAUCAAUUUUAAUUGUUUUGCUUAAAUGUAUCUUCUCCUAUGUUUAUUUAAAAAUAAACUGUAUCCUCUUAUUAAAUUAUGAUUUCCUACUUCAUCAAGAAGUUGGAACUAAACUCAGGAGGGAAUUAGAGAAGUCGUAGAAAGGUCAAAAUUAAGCCACAGUGCUGGUGUCCAGAGGCAGGCCACGAGAAGCAAAAUCUCUCCUCAUUGGAACCUGAUUAAUCCAAAUCCUAAAUUAAUCAGAGUUUACACUUAGGAACUCUGUUGAACAUUUAGCCCUACCAGAGAAUUUUUGGCAGGAGAAAGCACCAGUCUGAUCUGGGAUGGCAAUGCCCACAUGUUUAUUUCUUUGGGUUUAAAAGCUUUGUCUGGCUUGCGAGUCCCAUUGCCCACCUACAGUUUAGCCUGGCAGCCCUGAGUGUGACCUGAUCCACCUCCCUGCUGAUGCGCUUAGGAAAGCAGUAGAAGAUGACUCAAGAGCUUGGGCCCCUGCACCCAUGUGGGAGACCCAGAGGAAGUUCCUGUCCCCUGACUUCAGGCUGGCCCAGCCCUGCUCAUUGUAGCCGUUUGCGGAAUGAACUAGUGAAUGGAAGAUCUUUCUCUGUGUGUGUGUGUGUGUAUCUCCCCCCCACCCCACUCUACCUUUCAAAUAAGUAAAAAAAUAAAUCUUAAAAAAUAUAUAAAUAAAGCCUUCUUGUUUCUAUCACUGUGUGGCA